rnacentral:snRNA from 1 species
AUGCUUGCUUUGGCAGCACGUAUACUAAAAUUGGAAUAAUACAGAGAAGAUCAACAUGGCCUCUGUGCAAGGAUGCAAGUUUGUGAAGCAUUCCAUAUUUUG